GAUGAACGCUGGCGGCGUGCCUAAUACAUGCAAGUCGAGCGAACAGACGAGGAGCUUGCUCCUCUGACGUUAGCGGCGGACGGGUGAGUAACACGUGGAUAACCUACCUAUAAGACUGGGAUAACUUCGGGAAACCGGAGCUAAUACCGGAUAAUAUAUUGAACCGCAUGGUUCAAUAGUGAAAGACGGUUUUGCUGUCACUUAUAGAUGGAUCCGCGCCGCAUUAGCUAGUUGGUAAGGUAAUGGCUUACCAAGACAACGAUGCGUAGCCGACCUGAGAGGGUGAUCGGCCACACUGGAACUGAGACACGGUCCAGACUCCUACGGGAGGCAGCAGUAGGGAAUCUUCCGCAAUGGGCGAAAGCCUGACGGAGCAACGCCGCGUGAGUGAUGAAGGUCUUCGGAUCGUAAAACUCUGUUAUUAGGGAAGAACAAAUGUGUAAGUAACUAUGCACGUCUUGACGGUACCUAAUCAGAAAGCCACGGCUAACUACGUG
rnacentral:rRNA from 1 species